UUGUUGUCCUGGUGUAAGGACGUAGGGCGAGAGAUAGGCAAAUCCGUCUCUCACAUAGCCUGAGAUCCGAUGCGUACCCCUCACGGGGAAAAUCAGUGAUCCUAUGCUGCCGAGAAAAGCAUCGACGCGAGGUUCUAGCCGCCCGUACCCCAAACCGACUCAGGUGGGUAGGUAGAGAAUACCAAGGAGAUCGAGAGAAUCGUGGUUAAGGAACUCGGCAAAAUGCCCCCGUAACUUCGGGAGAAGGGGGGCCUAAGGCGUGAACGGACUUGCUCCGGAAGCGCUGCAGGGCCGCAGAGACCAGUGGGAAGCGACUGUUUACUAAAAACACAGGUCCGUGCGAAGACGCAAGUCGAUGUAUACGGACUGACGCCUGCCCGGUGCUGGAAGGUUAAGAGGAAGGGUUAGCUUCGGCGAGGCUCUGAAUUUAAGCCCCAGUAAACGGCGGUGGUAACUAUAACCAUCCUAAGGUAGCGAAAUUCCUUGUCGGGUAAGUUCCGACCUGCACGAAUGGCGUAACGACUUCCCAGCUGUCUCAACCGCGAACUCGGCGAAAUUGCACUACGAGUAAAGAUGCUCGUUACGCGCAGCAGGACGGAAAGACCCCGUGACCUUUACUACAGCUUGGUAUUGGUGUUCGGUGUGGCUUGUGUAGGAUAGGUGGGAGACUUUGAAGCUGGCACGCUAGUGUCGGUGGAGUCGUUGUUGAAAUACCACUCUGGUCACUCUGGAUGUCUAACUACGAACCGUAAUCCGGUUCUGGGACAGUGCCUGGUGGGUAGUUUAACUGGGGCGGUUGCCUCCCAAAAAGUAACGGAGGCGCCCAAAGGUUCCCUCAACCUGGUUGGCAAUCAGGUGUCGAGUGUAAGUGCACAAGGGAGCUUGACUGUGAGAGUGACGGCUCGAGCAGGGACGAAAGUCGGGACUAGUGAUCCGGCAGUGGCUUGUGGAAGCGCUGUCGCUCAACGGAUAAAAGGUACCUCGGGGAUAACAGGCUGAUCUUGCCCAAGAGUCCAUAUCGACGGCAUGGUUUGGCACCUCGAUGUCGGCUCGUCGCAUCCUGGGGCUGGAGUAGGUCCCAAGGGUUGGGCUGUUCGCCCAUUAAAGCGGUACGCGAGCUGGGUUUAGAACGUCGUGAGACAGUUCGGUCCCUAUCCGCUGCGCGCGUAGGAAAUUUGAGAAGAUCUAUCCCUAGUACGAGAGGACCGGGAUGGACGAACCUCUGGUGUGUCAGUUGUUCCGCCAGGAGCACCGCUGAUUAGCUACGUUCGGACCGGAUAACCGCUGAAAGCAUCUAAGCGGGAAGCCAGCUUCAAGAUGAGAUUUCCAUCCCUUAGGGGGAGAGGCUCGCAGCUAGAUUACUGCGUUGAUAGGCCGGAUGUGGAAGUGGGGACGAAAGACCCAUGCAGCUGACCGGUACUAAUAAGCCGAUAACUU
rnacentral:rRNA from 1 species